AGGAAUAUUGGUCAAUGGACGAGAGUCUGAACCAGCCAAGUAGCGUGCAGGAAGACGGCCCUAUGGGUUGUAAACUGCUUUUAUAAGGGAAUAAAGUUAGUCUCGUGAGACUUUUUGCAUGUACCUUAUGAAUAAGGACCGGCUAAUUCCGUGCCAGCAGCCGCGGUAAUACGGAAGGUCCGGGCGUUAUCCGGAUUUAUUGGGUUUAAAGGGAGCGUAGGCCGGAGAUUAAGCGUGUUGUGAAAUGUAGAUGCUCAACAUCUGCACUGCAGCGCGAACUGGUUUCCUUGAGUACGCACAAAGUGGGCGGAAUUCGUGGUGUAGCGGUGAAAUGCUUAGAUAUCACGAAGAACUCCGAUUGCGAAGGCAGCUCACUGGAGCGCAACUGACGCUGAAGCUCGAAAGUGCGGGUAUCGAACAGGAUUAGAUACCCUGGUAGUCCGCACGGUAAACGAUGGAUGCCCGCUGUUGGUCUGAAUAGGUCAGCGGCCAAGCGAAAGCAUUAAGCAUCCCACCUGGGGAGUACGCCGGCAACGGUGAAACUCAAAGGAAUUGACGGGGGCCCGCACAAGCGGAGGAACAUGUGGUUUAAUUCGAUGAUACGCGAGGAACCUUACCCGGGCUUGAAAGUUAGCGACGGAUCCUGAAAGGGGUCUUCUCUUCGGAGCGCGAAACUAGGUGCUGCAUGGUUGUCGUCAGCUCGUGCCGUGAGGUGUCGGCUUAAGUGCCAUAACGAGCGCAACCCCUCUCCUUAGUUGCCAUCAGGUUAAGCUGGGCACUCUGGGGACACUGCCACCGUAAGGUGUGAGGAAGGUGGGGAUGACGUCAAAUCAGCACGGCCCUUACGUCCGGGGCUACACACGUGUUACAAUGGCAGGUACAGAGAGACGGUCCCUUGCAAAAUGGAUCAAAUCCUUAAAGCCUGUCUCAGUUCGGACUGGGGUCUGCAACCCGACCCCACGAAGCUGGAUUCGCUAGUAAUCGCGCAUCAGCCAUGGCGCGGUGAAUACGUUCCCG
rnacentral:rRNA from 1 species